rnacentral:rRNA from 1 species
UACGUAGGGAGCAAGCGUUGUCCGGAAUCAUUGGGCGUAAAGAGCUCGUAGGCGGUUCGUCGCGUCGGCUGUGAAAACCUGAGGCUCAACCUCAGGCCUGCAGUCGAUACGGGCGGACUUGAGUACUGCAGGGGAGACUGGAAUUCCUGGUGUAGCGGUGAAAUGCGCAGAUAUCAGGAGGAACACCGGUGGCGAAGGCGGGUCUCUGGGCAGUAACUGACGCUGAGGAGCGAAAGCGUGGGGAGCGAACAGG